AAUCAACAAAGUGGAGAACGACCAUACACACAGCAAACUGCACCUGUAUGGCUGGUGCUGACAGAUGAGGACAUACAGGAACUGCAGGUUGUGGCUCCAGAUGCUGCAGUGUUGACAAGUCUGGAGAACAGUGACACAGACACUGCCUCAUCCGGCAAUGAUGAAGAGGAGCAUCCAGGUUUACCUGAGCCCUUGACUGCUUUAUUUAAUGCAUCAUACAGG